rnacentral:rRNA from 1 species
AGUUUCGGUGGAGCCAUCCUUGAAAUACCACCCUGAAGUGCUUGACGUUCUAACCUAGGUCCGUAAUCCGGAUCGGGGACCAUGUAUGGUGGGUAGUUUGACUGGGGCGGUCUCCUCCCAAAGAGUAACGGAGGAGCACGAAGGUACGCUCAGCGCGGUCGGACAUCGCGCACUGUGUGCAAAGGCAUAAGCGUGCUUGACUGCGAGAUCGACGGAUCAAGCAGGUACGAAAGUAGGUCUUAGUGAUCCGGUGGUUCUGUAUGGAAGGGCCAUCGCUCAACGGAUAAAAGGUACUCCGGGGAUAACAGGCUGAUACCGCCCAAGAGUUCAUAUCGACGGCGGUGUUUGGCACCUCGAUGUCGGCUCAUCACAUCCUGGGGCUGUAGCCGGUCCCAAGGGUAUGGCUGUUCGCCAUUUAAAGUGGUACGCGAGCUGGGUUCAGAACGUCGUGAGACAGUUCGGUCCCUAUCUGUCGUGGGCGUUGGAGAUUUGAGGGGGGCUGCUCCUAGUACGAGAGGACCGGAGUGGACGUUCCGCUGGUGUUCGGGUUGUCAUGCCCAUGGCAUUGCCCGGUAGCUACGAACGGAAGUGAUAACCGCUGAAAGCAUCUAAGCGGGAAGCACGCCCCAAGAUGAGAUCUCCCGAGAGCUCGACUCUCCUUAAGGCACCAUCAAGACUAGGUGGUUGAUAGGCGCGGUGUGGAAGUGCAGCAAUGCAUUGAGCUUACGCGUACUAAUGAGCCGUGAGGCUUGACCAUAUAACCCCAAG